rnacentral:sRNA from 1 species
GCUGGGUAUGGUGGUCCACACCUGUCAUCCCAGUGGCUUGGGAGGCUGAGGCAGGAGGAUCGCUGGUUGGAGGCCAGCCUCUGCAACCCAGCAAGGCCCUGAGCAGCUCAGCGAGACCCUGUCUCUG